AGAGUUGUAUCCUGGCUCAGACGAACGCUGGCGGCGUGCUUAACACAUGCAAGUCGAACGGAAAGGCCCUGCUUUUGUGGGGUGGCUCGAGUGGCGAACGGGUGAGUAACACGUGAGUAACCUGCCCUUGACUUUGGGAUAACUUCAGGAAACUGGGGCUAAUACCGGAUAGGAGCUCCUGCUGCAUGGUGGGGGUUGGAAAGUUUCGGCGGUUGGGGAUGGACUCGCGGCUUAUCAGCUUGUUGGUGGGGUAGUGGCUUACCAAGGCUUUGACGGGUAGCCGGCCUGAGAGGGUGACCGGCCACAUUGGGACUGAGAUACGGCCCAGACUCCUACGGGAGGCAGCAGUGGGGAAUAUUGCACAAUGGGCGGAAGCCUGAUGCAGCAACGCCGCGUGCGGGAUGACGGCCUUCGGGUUGUAAACCGUUUUCGCCUGUGACGAAGCGUGAGUGACGGUAAUGGGUAAAGAAGCACCGGCUAACUACGUG
rnacentral:rRNA from 1 species